CGGUGGUCGUAGCCCUGUGGCGGCACUGCAUUGCUGGCCUUCACUGUUCCCUUCCAGCUGUAGGGUCUGGCACAAGCCCGGACCUUAAGAGGGACUACAGCAAUGAGACAGCCCGGACAGAAGCUGGGGGCGCCUUAUGGACCUUUUUCUGAGGGACGGGAUGUACCCCUGCAGGAGUCUUGACCUCUAGUCUGCUUUUACUCUGUUUUUCCCGUUUCCCCUACUCCACCCUCGUGCUCUCUUUACUCGGCAUCUGUCAGGCCUUAAUGAAAGGAAAUACAGCAAGAUGAGGUAUGCAAACGAGUGCUGGGUAACCAGUUCUGUGAACUAGGAAGGGCUGAAAAUUCAGUAAUAAUACUACAAAGCCAUCUGUAGGCACACGUGGUCUUAAGUUCUGCCAUUACUUAUGUGCUGUCAGGCAAUGGCAGGAGAAGCUUCCUCAGGGCUUUGCAAAACUUAGCUCCUCUUUAGUUGGCAAAAAAAAAAAAAAAAAAAAACACUGAAUCGGAAAGUUAUGUUUGAGUGAGAGGGAGGAGCCUGUCGGGCCAUAGAGGCAACGGAAACAAUCAGAAGAUUGGGGUAAGGUCUUGGAUUUAUCCGGGUUAAUCAUCAUCUACAAGGCCUAACUUGAAGGGACCUCAAGAGAGAACCUGAGCCAGAACCACUCAGCUGAGGUGCUCCUGAAUUCUUGGUCAAGAGAAAUGGUAUCUCUGGAGCUUUAAGGAGUGAGGAGUCGAGUCAGGGGCUCCCUCUUCCCUUCACCGCCUCUUGCUCCCAUCGCCUGAUUGUGCUGGCAGAACAUUGCUGGCAAAAGCUGAGAAAAAUACGCUGCCUGGACGUGCUUUCAGAUCUGCCGUCACCCACCCUCUAUGGGGCCUUUUCCUCUUGCCCAGAAAAAAAUCCUUUCUCUUCUAUUUUCCUACAGGGAACUUGCACAGUGACAAUAUUUUUUGAAAAAAAAUUGGGACACAGUCUGAAAAGUGAAUUUUUGUGAAAUAUGGGAUGAACCCUCUUUAAUUCUGAAGGCCAGGCCCUUUCUCUGGGAUAGCAGACUUCUAGCAUUAUUUAGGCUGCAAGACAGCACUGCAGCUCAGGAAGGAGUUGAGGAUGAGGCAAACUUGGAUGUUAGCUAUCGCUGCCCUGACAUGGGGGUGUAUUUAUCAUUAGCCACCUUUCCCCCAGGGCUCCUGCCAGCUGCCAUCAGACUAGACCUCCCUCCCUCCGCCGAGACCCUCUUCUCAUGCUUUUUAUUUGUCUUCCAAGUCCUGGAACCCCUAUGUCCUUUUGGUUUUACUUGGGUUUGUAGGAGAGGUCACAUGUGGGACACUCCGCUGGGAACUACCAGAAGUAAUGGGGGGCUCUUGAGCACCACUUAACUUUAGCAAUUAGUCAUGCUGUAAUAAUUUGCAUAUAGAUGGGAAGGCACCAGAGUGUCCUUUCAUUAAGAUUAAUGAGAUUAAAUUCUCAUUGGAUCUCUCACUAACAUCUCACUUUUGGACUUAGUGCAUUUUAUACACUUAUUCCUUGUAUAGUUGCAUGGUAGAGAUAAUUAGUAUUCCCCUCAUAUUCCAGGUAUUCUCCUACAUUAUGCAGCCUCACUUGCAAUUAAGUUGGGCCAUUUAACUUGUUCUGCCCAAUGAUCUAUGAACGCAAGUGGCGUGAGGCUCUCCUGGACUGAGCCCGUUAAAAGCCAGUGUGCCUUUUCUGUCCCUCCCUUCCCUUCAGUGGGAGCCAGGCCUUCCCGAUGGCACAGCUACAGGCUGCAGGGGGCCAUCUGAUUCACACGGGACAGAUGUGGGUGUAAAGUACUUGUAUGUGGUGAUAAGCCACUGAGAUUUGGAGAUAUUUUUAUUAAUAUUCACUGCAUAUCUGUGCUACUUGUGUCAGUAGUUUUGGA